UACGUAGGGGGCGAGCGUUGUCCGAAUUUACUGGGCGUAAAGCGCGCGUAGGCGGUUUCUUAAGUCUGGGGUGAAAGGUUCAACGCUCAACGUGAACAGUGCCUUGGAUACUGGGAGACUUGAGUCUGGGAGGGGGUAGUGGAAUUCCUGGUGUAGCGGUGAAAUGCGUAGAUAUCAGGAGGAACACCGGUGGCGAAGGCGGCUACCUGGCCUAAGACUGACGCUGAGGUGCGAAAGCGUGGGGAGCGAACGGG
rnacentral:rRNA from 3 species